UUUAUUAGCAGUUUUCUCUAGCUGAAGAGGCAGUAGAAGAUUGUCAAAAAUUGAGUCGGGUUGAAGCGAACUUAGCUUCGACGUGCUGCAUAUUGACUCGCCCUACUCUGGAUCCAAGUUAUAAGGAAUGCCUCGAUGAUUUGCUAUCGAAAACUGACAAAAAACAUUUCACCAGCACUGAACAAACUGCUCUAAAUAUAUGUGCUGAGGAGUGUAACUUUAUAGGCAAUGGCUAUACUAACGCUGAUCCACCCUUUGCAUUAGAUUUCGACAAUAUUAACGAUAA